rnacentral:rRNA from 1 species
GAUGAACGCUGGCGGCGUGCCUAAUACAUGCAAGUCGAGCGAACGGACGAGAAGCUUGCUUCUCUGAUGUUAGCGGCGGACGGGUGAGUAACACGUGGAUAACCUACCUAUAAGACUGGGAUAACUUCGGGAAACCGGAGCUAAUACCGGAUAAUAUUUUGAACCGCAUGGUUCAAAAGUGAAAGACGGUCUUGCUGUCACUUAUAGAUGGAUCCGCGCUGCAUUAGCUAGUUGGUAAGGUAACGGCUUACCAAGGCAACGAUGCAUAGCCGACCUGAGAGGGUGAUCGGCCACACUGGAACUGAGACACGGUCCAGACUCCUACGGGAGGCAGCAGUAGGGAAUCUUCCGCAAUGGGCGAAAGCCUGACGGAGCAACGCCGCGUGAGUGAUGAAGGUCUUCGGGUCGUAAAACUCUGUUAUUAGGAAAGAACAUAUGUGUAAGUAACUGUGCACAUCUUGACGGUACCUAAUCAGAAAGCCACGGCUAACUACGUG